GAUGAACGCUGGCGGCGUGCCUAACACAUGCAAGUCGAACGGGCCUGUGCGGAAACCUAGUGAAGCGCAGGCAAGUGGCGGACGGGUGAGUAACGCGUGGAUAACCUGCCGUAUGCAGGGGGAUAACAGCCGGAAACGGCUGCUAAUACCGCAUAAGCGCACGGUGCCGCAUGGCACAGUGUGAAAAGGGAUACCGGCAUACGAUGGGUCCGCGUCCGAUUAGCCAGUUGGCGGGGUAGUGGCCCACCAAAGCGACGAUCGGUAGCCGGCCUGAGAGGGUGGACGGCCACAUUGGGACUGAGACACGGCCCAG
rnacentral:rRNA from 1 species